rnacentral:rRNA from 1 species
UACGGAGGGUGCGAGCGUUGUCCGGAAUCACUGGGCGUAAAGGGCGCGCAGGCGGUCGUUCAAGUCGCGUGUGAAAGCCCCCGGCUCAACUGGGGAGGGUCACGCGAUACUGAUCGACUCGAAGGCAGGAGAGGGUAGUGGAAUUCCCGGUGUAGUGGUGAAAUGCGUAGAGAUCGGGAGGAACACCAGAGGCGAAGGCGGCGACCUGGACAGGUACUGACACUCAACUACGAAAGCGUGGGGAGCAAACAGG